UACGUAGGGUGCGAGCGUUGUCCGGAAUUACUGGGCGUAAAGAGCUCGUAGGUGGUUUGUCGCGUUGUUCGUGAAAACUCACAACUCAAUUGUGGGCGUGCGGGCGAUACGGGCAGACUGGAGUGCUGCAGGGGAGACUGGAAUUCCUGGUGUAGCGGUGGAAUGCGCAGAUAUCAGGAGGAACACCGGUGGCGAAGGCGGGUCUCUGGGCAGUAACUGACGCUGAGGUGCGAAAGCGUGGGGAGCAAACAGG
rnacentral:rRNA from 1 species